rnacentral:misc_RNA from 1 species
AUAUGUGAAGUUGAUUCGCCUGGGGAGUACGGUCGCAAGAUUAAAACUCAAAGGAGUUGACGGGGACCCGCACCGCUGGAAGAUGAUGGAUUAAUUCGAUGCAACGCGAAAACCUUACCUACCCUUGACAUGUCUGGAACUUCCAACAGAUUUGGGAGUGCUCGCAAGAGAACCGGAACACAGGUGCUGCAUGGCUGUCGUCAGCUUGCGUCGAGAUGUUGGGUUAAGUCCCGCAACGAGCGGCAACCUCGUCAUUAGUUGCUACGAAAGGGCACCUUAAUGAGACUGCCGGUGACAAACCGAAAAUAAAGGUGGGGAUGACGUCAAGUCCUCAUGGCCCAUAAGAGGGCCACACGUCAUACAAUGGUCGGGACAGAGGGUCGCCAACCCGCGAGGGGGAGCCAACCCCAGAAACCCGAUCGUAGUCCGGAUCGCAGUCUGCAACUCGACUGCGUGAAGUCGGAAUCGCUAGUAACCGUUAUUCAGCAUCGCGGUGAAUAUGUUCCCGCAGUCUUGCAGGACACACCGCCCGUCACACCAUGGGAGUGGGUUUACCAGAAGUAGUUAGCCUAACCGUAAGGAGGGCGAUUACCACGGUAGGAUUCAUGAUCAGUGAAGUCGUAACAAGGUA